ACGCUGGCGGCGUGCCUAAUACAUGCAAGUAGAACGCUGAAGCUUGGUGCUUGCACCGAGCGGAUGAGUUGCGAACGGGUGAGUAACGCGUAGGUAACCUGCCUCUUAGCGGGGGAUAACUAUUGGAAACGAUAGCUAAUACCGCAUAAAAAUCGACAUCGCAUGAUGUUGACUUGAAAGGUGCAAUUGCAUCACUAAGAGAUGGACCUGCGUUGUAUUAGCUAGUUGGUGAGGUAACGGCUCACCAAGGCGACGAUACAUAGCCGACCUGAGAGGGUGAUCGGCCACACUGGGACUGAGACACGGCCCAGACUCCUACGGGAGGCAGCAGUAGGGAAUCUUCGGCAAUGGGGGCAACCCUGACCGAGCAACGCCGCGUGAGUGAAGAAGGUUUUCGGAUCGUAAAGCUCUGUUGUAAGAGAAGAACGAGUGUGAGAGUGGAAAGUUCACACUGUGACGGUAACUUACCAGAAAGGGACGGCUAACUACGUGCCAGCAGCCGCGGUAAUACGUAGGUCCCGAGCGUUAUCCGGAUUUAUUGGGCGUAAAGCGAGCGCAGGCGGUUAGAUAAGUCUGAAGUUAAAGGCUGUGGCUUAACCAUAGUACGCUUUGGAAACUGUUUAACUUGAGUGCAGAAGGGGAGAGUGGAAUUCCAUGUGUAGCGGUGAAAUGCGUAGAUAUAUGGAGGAACACCGGUGGCGAAAGCGGCUCUCUGGUCUGUAACUGACGCUGAGGCUCGAAAGCGUGGGGAGCAAACAGGAUUAGAUACCCUGGUAGUCCACGCCGUAAACGAUGAGUGCUAGGUGUUGGGGCCUUUCCGGGACUCAGUGCCGCAGCUAACGCAUUAAGCACUCCGCCUGGGGAGUACGACCGCAAGGUUGAAACUCAAAGGAAUUGACGGGGGCCCGCA
rnacentral:rRNA from 1 species